rnacentral:rRNA from 1 species
GAUGAACGCUGGCGGCGUCCCUAAUACAUGCAAGUCGAGCGAACAGACGAGGAGCUUGCUCCUCUGACGUUAGCGGCGGACGGGUGAGUAACACGUGGAUAACCUACCUAUAAGACUGGGAUAACUUCGGGAAACCGGAGCUAAUACCGGAUAAUAUAUUGAACCGCAUGGUUCAAUAGUGAAAGACGGUUUUGCUGUCACUUAUAGAUGGAUCCGCGCCGCAUUAGCUAGUUGGUAAGGUAACGGCUUACCAAGGCAACGAUGCGUAGCCGACCUGAGAGGGUGAUCGGCCACACUGGAACUGAGACACGGUCCAGACUCCUACGGGAGGCAGCAGUAGGGAAUCUUCCGCAAUGGGCGAAAGCUUGACGGAGCAACGCCGCGUGAGUGAUGAAGGUCUUCGGAUCGUAAAACUCUGUUAUUAGGGAAGAACAAAUGUGUAAGUAACUAUGCACGUCUUGACGGUACCUAAUCAGAAAGCCACGGCUAACUACGUG